rnacentral:rRNA from 1 species
GGACUACCCGGGUAUCUAAUCCUGUUUGCUCCCCUUGCUCUCGUGCCUCAGCGUCAGGAGUAAGUUAGAGAAUCGCUUUCGCCACAGGUGUUCUUCCAUAUAUCUACGCAUUUCACCGCUACACAUGGAAUUCCAUUCUCUUCACCAGUCCUCAAGAAAUGCCGUUUCAGAUGCAGCUCCGGGGUUGAGCCCCGGAAUUUCACAUCUGACGUACAUUCCCGCCUACGCACCCUUUACGCCCAGUAAUUCCGACUAACGCUUGCACCUUCCGUAUUACCGCGGCUGCUGGCAC